GCUCCUAUCGUUUAAUGGUUAAGACAAUGUUUUUUCGUAGCAUAAAUGCGAGUUCAAAUCUGGCUAGGAGUA
rnacentral:tRNA from 1 species